rnacentral:lncRNA from 1 species
GAGCCAUGAUCAUGCCACUCCACUCCAGCCUGGGCAACAGAACAAGACUGUCUCAAAAACAGAAAGGAAAACCCCCCAAACCCCAAAUGUUUAGUUCUGUACACAUAAGAGAUACUUAGCAAAAGUUUGUUGAAUAGAUGAACUGCUGCCUUACUUAUGCAUGAAUACAUCAAAUAUCUAUUGAGCUUCGUUUUCAGGCACAAUACUAGAUCCUGGAGCUGUAAUGGAAGUGGAGGUACAGGCUAGAAAAGUUGACAUCUGAGUGGUGAGUAGAAUGAGCAGAAGUUGGGGGAAGGGGAUGGGAGAAUGUGCCUUGCAAAGGAUUUAUGGGAAAAUCCUGACCCUCCCAACCCAAUCCUCAUUAAUUCUCUAAUCCUGGCCCUCAAAUCCUAAAUUCACUGUUGGUGUCAGUGCCUUUUACUCUCUCCACUUUUUCGUUCUGAUCCCAGAUGGGUACAUGUGUCUAGAAACUCUGAGAUGCUCCAUAGAUACAGAGAACUCUUAACUCAUUAUUUUGUAAAUUAAAAAAUAGAAAAUAUAGGCUUGUUCUGAAAAU